rnacentral:rRNA from 1 species
UACGUAGGUGGCAAGCGUUGUCCGGAAUUAUUGGGUGUAAAGCGCGCGCAGGCGGUCCUUUAAGUCUGAUGUGAAAGCCCACGGCUCAACCGUGGAGGGUCAUUGGAAACUGGGGGACUUGAGUACAGAAGAGAAGAGUGGAAUUCCACGUGUAGCGGUGAAAUGCGCAGAUAUCAGGAGGAACACCAAUUGCGAAGGCAGCUCGCUGGGACGUAACUGACGCUGAGACGCGAAAGCGUGGGGAGCAAACAGG